rnacentral:rRNA from 1 species
ACUCAAAGGAAUUGACGGGGACCCGCACAAGCGGUGGAACAUGUGGUUUAAUUCGAAGCAACGCGAAAAACCUUACCAGGGCUUGACAUCUAGAGAAUUCUGGUGAAAGUCAGAAGUGCCCCUCGGGGAACUCUAAGACAGGUGGUGCACGGUUGUCGUCAGCUCGUGUCGUGAGAUGUUGGGUUAAGUCCCGCAACGAGCGCAACCCUCGUCGUUAGUUGCAUACAGCGGUAUACUGCUGUAGUGCUCUCUAGCGAGACUGCCGGUGAUAAACCGGAGGAAGGUGGGGACGACGUCAAAUCAUCAUGCCCCUUAUGCUCUGGGCUACACACGUGUUACAAUGGCUAAGACAACGAGUCGCCAACUCGCAAGAGUGAGCAAAUCUCUUAAACUUAGUCUCAGUUCGGAUUGGAGUCUGUAACUCGACUCCAUGAAGUCGGAAUCGCUAGUAAACGCAGAUCAGCACGCUGCGUUGAAUACGUUCCCGGGUCUUGUACACACCGCCCGU